AUCCUUACAUGGUAGGGGAAAUGCCAUGAUCAAAAGGUCAUUUUCCCAGGAUGAGGCUCAUCCAUUGCCCUUGGGAUGUGUUAACCCCUAUGAAUUUCCCCCAAAUGCUAAAAACUUGACUGCAUAAUUUGUGGUAGUUAGGACUUUGUAUGUAUGUAUGUAU